CGAUCUUGUAGGCGAGCAGCGCUUCGUAAAUCUUGCGCGUGUACGUCUUCUCACUCGACAGGAAGAAGUUGCGUGCGACCUGCAUCGUGAUCGU
rnacentral:tRNA from 1 species